UGAAUACGAGGCACUAAGGUGCUGAAGUAGUGUAUGUCAUACUUCCAAGAAAAGCUUGCACUAUCGUAAGAUAAAAAUGCCUGUACCAUAACCGACACAGGUGGGUAGGUAGAGUAUACUAAGGGGCGCGAGAUAACUCUCUCUAAGGAACUCGGCAAAAUAACUCCGUAACUUCGGGAGAAGGAGUGCCUUAUUCUAUAAGGUUGCAAUAACAAGAUCCAAGCAACUGUUUAUCAAAAACACAGGUCUCCGCUAAGUCGUAAGACGAUGUAUGGGGGCUGACGCCUGCCCAGUGCCAGAAGGUUAAAGAAGUCGGUUAGCAAUUGCGAAGCUGGUAACUGAAGCCCUGGUGAACGGCGGCCGUAACGAUAACGGUCCUAAGGUAGCGAAAUUCCUUGUCGGGUAAGUUCCGACCCGCACGAAAGGCGUAAUGAUUUGGAUACUGUCUCGGAGAGGGACUCGGUGAAAUAGACUUGUCUGUGAAGAUGCGGACUACCUGCACCAGGACAGAAAGACCCUAUGAAGCUUUACUGUAACUUGAAAUUGAAAUUGGACUUUAUUCGCGCAGUAUAGGUGGGAGGCGUUGAUUAUAAUCUUGUGGGAUUAUUGGAGCCAUUAGUGAGAUACCACUCUUGUAAUGUUAGAUUUCUAACUUUGAAUCAUGAUCUGGUCAAAGAACAGUUUCAGGCGGGCAGUUUGACUUGGGCGGUCGCCUCCUAAAUGGUAACGGAGGCGUACAAAGGUUUCCUCUGAACGGGUAGAAAUCGUAUCUAGAGUGUAAAGGCAUAAGGAAGCUUGACUGUGAGACCUACAAGUCGAGCAGGGACGAAAGUCGGUCUUAGUGAUCUGACGGUACUGAGUGGAAAGGCCGUCACUCAACGGAUAAAAGUUACUCUAGGAUAACAGGCUGAUCUCCCCCAAGAGUUCACAUCGACGGGGAGGUUUGGCACCUCGAUGUCGGCUCAUCGCAUCCUGGGGCGGUAGUACGUCCCAAGGGUUGGGCUGUUCGCCCAUGAAAGCGGUACGCGAGCUGGGUUCAGAACGUCGUGAGACAGUUCGGUCCAUAUCCGGUGUAGGCGUUAGAAUAUUGAGAGGAGCCUUCUUUAGUACGAGAGGACCGAGAAGGACAUACCUCUGGUGUACCAGUUAUCGUGCCAACGGUAAACGCUGGGUAGCUAUGUAUGGAGUGGAUAACCGCUGAAAGCAUCUAAGUGGGAAGCCCACCUCAAGAUAAGUAUUCUCGU
rnacentral:rRNA from 1 species